rnacentral:lncRNA from 1 species
GACACUCCCGACCCUUCAAUGACGAAACUCUGCCUCGCCCAACGAAACUCCGCCUCGCCCGACCCACAGUCCUAGGGUCGGGUGCGCCCGACCCCUCGCCGCAAGGCUCCGCCUCGCCCAACCCUAGGUGCAUGGGGGUCAGACUCAUCCGGGCUCACAAGAUAAGGGUCCGCCUCGGGCGAGGACCGGCAAACGAGGGCACGGAUCUCGUGGGCCCUCCACCCAUCUUGCCAUAAAUGCGUUGCGGCACUGGCGCGUAGAAAGGCGCCUGUGCCCCUCGACGUGACCCGCCACAAGUACCCGGGCGGAACACUAUAGCCACGACCGCACAGG